rnacentral:lncRNA from 12 species
GUGAAUCCCAACCAGCUUCUAGUGCGGUACAGUGAACAGCGUGUGUUCCUUCUACUUGGGGACCAUGCAGAGAGCUUCACGUCUAAAGAGAGAGCUGAACUUGUUAGCCACAGAGCCACCCCCAGGCAUCACUUGCUGGCAAGAUAACGACCAAAUGGACGAUCUGCGAGCUCAAAUAUUAGGUGCGGCUGACACACCUUACGAAAAAGGUGUUUUCAAGCUGGAAGUUACCAUUCCUGAGAGGUACCCCUUUGAACCUCCUCAGAUCCGAUUUCUGACUCCCAUCUAUCAUCCAAACAUUGAUUCUGCCGGGAGGAUUUGUCUGGAUGUUCUCAAAUUGCCACCAAAGGGUGCCUGGAGACCAUCUCUCAACAUUGCAACUGUGUUGACUUCUAUUCAGCUGCUCAUGUCGGAACCCAACCCUGAUGACCCGCUCAUGGCAGACAUAUCCUCCGAAUUUAAAUACAAUAAGCCAGUCUUCCUCAAGAAUGCCAGGCAGUGGACAGAGAAGCAUGCAAGACAGAAACAGGAGGCUGAUGAGGAAGAGAUGCCUGAUGAUCUACCGGAGGCUGGUGACUCGGGAGUAUGCAACACAGCACAGAAAAGGAAAGCCAGGCCCCUGGGAAGCAUAGAAAAGAAAUUUUGCCCUGAUGCUUAGGGGCUUGUCCUGG